rnacentral:lncRNA from 1 species
AAAAAAAGAAUUGAUUGAAUACUUUCUAGGUAUGUAUAUGGAAAUAUUAUUAUACAUGUAUGAGUCAGACACCAUACUUUACAAUUACCAAAGUAUCUAUGAUUAUAGUGUUUGAGAGAAACAAUGGGUUGAAUCUAAACUGUAUUUUUAUUGUGAUGAUUAAUGAUAAUGAUAUAAAAAAGUAUCUAACUGUAUUUUUAAUAGACUACAAUGCAGGAA